rnacentral:lncRNA from 1 species
CAAAGGCAAAGUUUGGUUUUUGCUGAUUGUCACUGAAGAUUUCAAAGCAGUUUGUCGCCUCAGGGUUAAGCUUGGUGCCACCUUGAAAACCAGCAAGCUUCUCUUGAAACGGGCAAAAGAGCUAAAUAUUGACGUCACUGGUGUCAGCGUCCAUGUGGGCAGUGAGUGGAUGUACUGAUCCUGAGACCUUGGUGCUGGCAGUGUCAUAUGCCCGCUGUGUCUUUGACAUGGGAACAGAAGUUGGUUUCAACAUGUAUCUGCUUGAUAUUGGUGGUGGCUCUCUUGGACCUGAACCUACAAAGCUUAAAUUUGAAGGGAACACAGCAUAAUCCACCCAGCUGUGGACGAGGACUUGCCAUCAGCCUCUGGAGUGAAAACCAUAGCUGAGCCAGGCAGAUACGAUGUGGUGUCAGCUUUCACACUUGCAGUCAAUGUCAUUGCCAAAUAAACUGUUUGGCCCUGACGAUGAAGAUGAAUCAAUGAACAAACCUUCAUGUAUUGCGUGAAUGAUGAGUGUAUGCAUCAUUUAACUGCGUUCCUUAUGGUCGUGCACAUAUGAAGGCCUUGCUGCACAAGAGACUCAAGCCAGAUGAGAAGUAUUACCCAGCCAGCAUCUGGGGAACCACCAUGUGAUAGCCUUCGUCGGAUUGCUGGGCACUGUAACCUGCCUGAAAUGCUGUGUGAGAACAUGGGUGCCUUCACCAUUGCUGCUGCUUCUACUUUCAAU